rnacentral:pre_miRNA from 1 species
AGGCAUUGUUCCAUAGCCAUUUUGGCAUUCUGUCCACCUCCGAUCCGAUCCGAUUCGGGAGGUGGCCAGUAGGCCAAACGGGUUCUGUGAAUAUGU